GUCUUUUUGAAAAUAAUAUAAAGUCUAAUCUGCCCACUGAUUAAAUAAUUAAAGGGCUGCAGUAUAUUGACUGUACAAAGGUAGCAUAAUCAUUAGUCAUUUAAUUGAUGACUUGUAUGAAGGAUUUGAUGAGAUAUAAACUGUCUCUUAUUUAAUUAUAAAAUUUAAUUUUUUUAUUAAAAAGUUAAAAUAUCUUAAAAAGACGAGAAGACCCUAUAGAGUUUAAUAAAUUAUUAUAUUGAGAUUAUAUGUAAAACAAAUUUAAAAUAAAAUUAUUUAUUUUGUUGGGGUGACAAAAAAAUACAUUAAACUUUUUUUUUAUUUUAAAACAUUUAUAAGUGAUUAAAUGAUCCAAUAAUAUUGAUUAUGAGAAAAAAUUACCUUAGGGAUAACAGCGUAAUUUUUUUUUUUAGUUCAAAUAAGAAAAAGAGUUUGCGACCUCGAUGUUGGAUUAAGAUAAAAUUUAAAUGUAGAAGUU
rnacentral:rRNA from 1 species